AUGGCGACUUCCCCUCUUUCCCCAUCCACAUUUAUAGAAAUGGAGUCACCUCCAGACAUCUCCACUCCUGUAUGGCCACCAGCAGUGCGACCUCUGAUGCCACCAGUAGCUCCACCUGUGAAUCAAACCCCUAUUCCCUUCAGCCCCAUGCAUCCUGUGUCCCGUAUGCUAAUGGAUUCUCCUGUUCUGGCUGGCAGCACACCCAUGCAAACAGUCACCUGGGCACCCCCAGGGGAUAACAUGCAACUAUGUACAUCAUCCGAAGGAGGAUCUCUCUCAAGUGCUCAGCAUGACCUACCCAACGUUCUACCAACUCCUGGAAAAGAAAUCCAAAAGUUUACUUCUCAGGUACAAGGGAACUGGGAAAAUUUAUUUGACUUGAUGAAAAGACAAGAAAAAACCAUGAAUGAUUUUACCCAAGAAAUGAAAGCCACUUCUACUCAAAACAAAAAUCAACUCUCUGAACUCGCUGCAAAAGUGGAGGAUAACAAGAGUCAAGUCUUCACUCUGCUGACCACUACCAAACAACAAGAGGAAUCUGAAACAGACAAGUUGAUUAAAGCUAUGAAGCAAAUGAUUACAGCUGAACUCCAAAAGAUGGAAUCUACCUUGGUGUCAGAAAUGCGUUUCAUGGUGGAUCAACUCCAGUCAGAAGUUCAGCAGGACAUCAAAGCUGUGCAACACACAUUUCAAACAAGCCAUGAUCGCAUUACUAUAGAACUUCAGCAAUUUGUCACCCAAAAUAACCAGUUAUCCAAAUGUGUAAAGGAGUUGAGAAAAGAGAUGGAGAAAGGAUUUCAGGAUCUAAAAAAUCAAAUUGACGAACAACAAAAAUUGGCACCACAAAUUUCCAGCUCCAUUAUUUCAACUACGCCAUCUGUGUCUACUCCAGCAAUUCCUUCAACUUCUUCAACCCCUCUUCCCACACCUAUCGUAAAAAGUGAUCAUAUUAAAUUAACUUUUCCCACUUUUGGUAGACCAUCAGAUGAUGCAGACCCCCUACUGUACUUAACCAAAUGUCAGGAUUUCUUGGCCCUUCAUCCCCUAACUGAUACAGAUAUCCUAGCCACGUUCCGUACUGUCCUACAUGGAACUGCACGUGACUGGUGGGAGGUCAGACGUUCCAGCAUCUCCACGUGGAGUGAGUUUGAGGCUGCAUUCCUUUCUGCAUUCUUGUCUGAAGAUUAUGAUGAUGAACUGGCUGAACGGGUCAGAACAAAAAUUCAAAGUGAGAAAGAAUCUAUUAGAGACUUUGCAUUCUCCUACAGAGCCCUUUGUAAAAGGUGGAAGGCAGAUCUAACUGAAGGUGACAUUGUUAAGAUGAUACUUAAGAACAUCAAGCCUUACCUUGCCAGCCAAUUGCGUAAUAUGAAGGUCGAAUGGGCCCUAAGCAUCCAGCCACAUCACAAAGAGCCUCAUCGAACCAACCUACUGAGAAAAUCCCAGUUCAGUGCUGGAGAUGCCGAGGCCAGCAUCCUCCAGGCAAGUGUCCACACUAUAUCCCUCCACAGUUCCCUCAGUCAUCUGCACACCAAGUUACCAGCAGCAAACAUCCCUAUUCAUCUCCUCAGACAAGGGGUCAGUUUUCUAACAACUCCGUUACUGCUACAGAAAUGCAGAAGCCUCCAACUAAAAACAAGAAAGCCUCUACCUCCACAAACCUUAAUGCAUCGAUGA
rnacentral:lncRNA from 1 species